UACGUAGGGUGCGAGCGUUAAUCGGAAUUACUGGGCGUAAAGCGUGCGCAGGCGGCUUGCCAAGUCAGAUGUGAAAGCCCCGGGCUCAACCCGGGAACUGCGUUUGAAACUGGCAGGCUAGAGUUUGGCAGAGGGGGGUGGAAUUCCGCGUGUAGCAGUGAAAUGCGUAGAUAUGCGGAGGAACACCGAUGGCGAAGGCAAUCCCCUGGACCUGUACUGACGCUCAUGCACGAAAGGCGUGGGGAGCAAACAGG
rnacentral:rRNA from 1 species